rnacentral:rRNA from 1 species
CCUACGGGAGGCAGCAGUGGGGAAUAUUGCACAAUGGGGGAAACCCUGAUGCAGCGACGCCGCGUGAUUGAAGAAGUAUUUCGGUAUGUAAAGCUCUAUCAGCAGGGAAGAAAAUGACGGUACCUGAUUAAGAAGCCCCGGCUAACUACGUGCCAGCAGCCGCGGUAAUACGUAGGGGGCAAGCGUUAUCCGGAUUUACUGGGUGUAAAGGGGGCGGAGACGGCAGCACAAGUCUGGAGUGAAAUGCCGGGGCUUAACCCCGGAACUGCUUUGGAAACUGUGUAGCUAGAGUGCAGGAGAGGCAAGUGGAAUUCCUAGUGUAGCGGUGAAAUGCGUAGAUAUUAGGAGGAACACCAGUGGCGAAGGCGGCUUACUGGACUGUAACUGACGUUGAGGCUCGAAAGCGUGGGGAGCAAACAGGAUUAGAUACCCUUGUAGUC